CCACCUAUUUGGCACGUUGUUACAUAUUGUAACUUUCGUGAAUGCACAGGUGGUACAGUAAUGGAGGUCUAUGCCUUCGGUGUCUGCAGUGUGGCUGCAGAUCCCAUCCUCAAAGACCUCUACAGUU